GGGGGGUUUGCGGGGUGGGGUGGUUUGUGGUGUGGGGUUUGGGGUUUGGUGUUGAUAUGGGUGUUGUUCUUUGUUUAAAGACAAUCUUUGUGACAUUAAAUUCUCCUCCUUAAUCAGCAUGGGUAAUUUACAUCAGAAUCAUAUCAAACAACAUUUGAAAAAGCAGGGACAAGUGUAGUCUAAUUCCAAGUUUGUGCACAGCAUGCUCUCCUCAACUUAAGGUUUCUUCACAACAAGAACAGGG
rnacentral:misc_RNA from 1 species